rnacentral:rRNA from 1 species
GACGAACGUUGGCGGCGUGCUUAACACAUGCAAGUCGAACGGAAAGGCCCUGCUUUUGUGGGGUGCUCGAGUGGCGAACGGGUGAGUAACACGUGAGUAACCUGCCCUUGACUUUGGGAUAACUUCAGGAAACUGGGGCUAAUACCGGAUAGGAGCUCCUGCUGCAUGGUGGGGGUUGGAAAGUUUCGGCGGUUGGGGAUGGACUCGCGGCUUAUCAGCUUGUUGGUGGGGUAGUGGCUUACCAAGGCUUUGACGGGUAGCCGGCCUGAGAGGGUGACCGGCCACAUUGGGACUGAGAUACGGCCCAGACUCCUACGGGAGGCAGCAGUGGGGAAUAUUGCACAAUGGGCGGAAGCCUGGUGCAGCAACGCCGCGUGCGGGAUGACGGCCUUCGGGUUGUAAACCGCUUUCGCCUGUGACGAAGCGUGAGUGACGGUAAUGGGUAAAGAAGCACCGGCUAACUACGUGCCAGCAGCCGCGGUGAUACGUAGGGUGCGAGCGUUGUCCGGAUUUAUUGGGCGUAAAGGGCUCGUAGGUGGUUGAUCGCGUCGGAAGUGUAAUCUUGGGGCUUAACCCUGAGCGUGCUUUCGAUACGGGUUGACUUGAGGAAGGUAGGGGAGAAUGGAAUUCCUGGUGGAGCGGUGGAAUGCGCAGAUAUCAGGAGGAACACCAGUGGCGAAGGCGGUUCUCUGGGCCUUUCCUGACGCUGAGGAGCGAAAGCGUGGGGAGCGAACAGGCUUAGAUACCCUGGUAGUCCACGCUGUAAACGGUGGGUACUAGGUGUGGGGUCCAUUCCACGGGUUCCGUGCCGUAGCUAACGCUUUAAGUACCCCGCCUGGGGAGUACGGCCGCAAGGCUAAAACUCAAAGGAAUUGACGGGGCCCCGCACAAGCGGCGGAGCAUGCGGAUUAAUUCGAUGCAACGCGUAGAACCUUACCUGGGUUUGACAUGGAUCGGGAGUGCUCAGAGAUGGGUGUGCCUCUUUUGGGGUCGGUUCACAGGUGGUGCAUGCCUGUCGUCAGCUCGUGUCGUGAGAUGUUGGGUUAAGUCCCGCAACGAGCGCAACCCUUGUUCACUGUUGCCAGCACGUUAUGGUGGGGACUCAGUGGAGACCGCCGGGGUCAACUCGGAGGAAGGUGGGGAUGACGUCAAGUCCUCAUGCCCCUUAUGUCCAGGGCUUCACGCAUGCUACAAUGGCUGGUACAGAGAGUGGCGAGCCUGUGAGGGUGAGCGAAUCUCGGAAAGCCGGUCUCAGUUCGGAUUGGGGUCUGCAACUCGACCUCAUGAAGUCGGAGUCGCUAGUAAUCGCAAAUCAGCAACGCUGCGGUGAAUACGUUCCCGGG